AGAGUUUGAUCCUGGCUCAGAAUCAACGCUGGCGGCGUGCCUCAGACAUGCAAGUCGAACGCGAAAGUUUCCUUCGGGAGACGAGUAGAGUGGCGCACGGGUGAGUAACACGUAGGUAAUCUACCUUCGGAUGGGGAAUAACAAUCGGAAACGGUUGCUAAUACCGCAUAAUGCAGCGGCACCUAAUGGUGACAGUUGUUAAAGCGGGGGAUCGAAAGACCUCGCGUCUGAAGAGGAGCCUGCGGCGGAUUAGCUAGUUGGUAAGGUAAUGGCUUACCAAGGCAACGAUCCGUAACCGGCCUGAGAGGGCGGUCGGUCACACUGACACUGACAUACGGGUCAGACUCCUACGGGAGGCAGCAGUCGGGAAUUUUGGGCAAUGGGCGAAAGCCUGACCCAGCAACGCCGCGUGAAGGACGAAAUCCCUCGGGAUGUAAACUUCGCAAGAACGGGAAGAAUAAGCGAAGGCUAAUACCAUUCGUGAUGACGGUACCGUUUGUAAGCUCCGGCUAACUCCGUGCCAGCAGCCGCGGUAAUACGGGGGGAGCAAGCGUUGUUCGGAUUUACUGGGCGUAAAGGGCGCGUAGGCGGUCAGCACAAGUCAGUUGUGAAAUCUUCGGGCUUAACUCGGAAAGGUCAACUGAUACUGUGCGACUAGAGUGCAGAAGGGGCAACUGGAAUUCUUGGUGUAGCGGUGAAAUGCGUAU
rnacentral:rRNA from 1 species